ensembl:lncRNA
CAUUGACAUGUUUCUGCAGCAAGGUGAAGUCACCCGUAUUUCUCUCUCUCUGCAGCUGUUGACCUGCUGGUGAUUCAAAGCCCUGCCUUUGUCAAGGAAGAGGAAGGGAAACCGUUGACCAUAGCAUGUAGAUUCAGGGCCCUGGAGAAACCCAGCGCCAAGUACUCUGUUAAAUGGUAUAAAAACAGGACUGAUGGACUCGAGAAGGAGCUGAAAAACAAAGCAGGCUCAGUCACAACAACUCUAGAUUUCUCAACGGGCCUGGCUUCUCUGAACUUGACUAAAGCCAGCAUGAAUGAUUCUGGGUUCUACAGAUGUGACUUCGGUAAAAAUGGCCGUGGGAAAGGAACGAGAGUGAUGAUUCAUGCUGUUGACCUGCUGGUGAAUCAGAUGCCUGCCGUAAUGAACGGAUUGGAAGGAGACAAGCUCACUAUAGAGUGUAGAUUCAAGGUGGUGAAAGACCCAAGCACCACAUCCAGUGUUACGUGGUAUAAGACGGGGGCUGAUGGACACAAGAAAGAGCUGAAGAACAGAACAGGCAUUGUCACAACAGCUCUAGAUUCCUCAAAAGGCCUGGCCUCUCUCACCUUGAUCAAAAUCAAUAGAAAUGACUCCGGGCUCUACAGAUGUGACUUUGGUAAAAAUGGUGGUGGAAAUGGAACCAGAGUGACCAUCCAUGCACAUGACCAAAAGCUGAUGAGCUCUUACAUUGUUCCUGGGACUGUGGCUGGGACACUUCUCCUCUUGCUGGUGCUUGGUAUCCUUUUGUGGAGAUGCAGACAGUGCUCCAAAGAACCACUUCAAAGCAGGUCAGAGGCAGAGAUGAAUCAGAUGGAGAUGCGUUCUCCUCCACCAGCUGAUGAGGUGACUUACGUUGACUUGAACUUCCACAAAAGGGACGCAAAAGCGGAGGAAGAGGUUGUUUACACAGAAGUGAAGAUACGGCCAAAACAGAGAGAUGACGAUGACAUCUAUGCAAAAGUCAAACCUAGUCAGCGCUAGGGGAAGAGCUAGUGGGAAUUAACAGAGGGGUGACCAGCAUUUCACAUGUCCAUUAAAUGCAAGACUCCAUGAAACAACGAAUUAGCUCUUAGUAAAAGAUGUCCUUGGAGAUCAAAGUCCUCUAGUUAUGAACAGAACAGGUAGCAAUGCAAGAUUCUCAUUUCCUGCUCCACCAACAUGUCUCAACUCCGAUCUGGAGAGACCAAUUCUGUGGGUAAACGGAGAGUUCUGCUACCCCAUCUAUGCUUGGUCUAUGUGCUGCAAUUGUAGCCAGGAAAUGAGUUGUGCUGUGGACAGUAGUUCACUAGGAACUGAGUCGAGACCAGAAAUUCAUUUAACAAACUCAUCAGCCAUCAGAUUGUAGCAAUUUUUAGUUGCUAUUUACCAGCACUGUAUUUGAACAGUGACCAAGAGCCAAGCCCUGGAGCCACCCAAGUAUGGAAAAUGUUGCCAUCUUGUUGUGGGAAGCGCUGUUCUCCACUGAAGAUGCCAACUGUGCUGAACAAGGAAGGAAAAGCCUCCGAAGAGCCAUGCUCCCUACCCUGGAAGAUUUACAAUAAUGCUGUUAAUGCUCAAGAGUGAUUUCUCAUACUUUCAUGAAUGAAAGUGACAUGAUUGUUUAAUCUUUCUAAGCACAAAGCAGGCUUCUCUGUUGGGAGGGAAUUAAGUGGAUGGAAUCCAGGGAAACUUAAGAGCCCAACAACAACAAUAUGAAUUGCUUUAUUAACUAAAGCUUUUACAGCAAGUUUAGCCCAGGGAUUGAGUGUGUGCGAUUGCUCUGAUUUAAAUGGAGUUGUACCUACUUACACCAGGAAUGGAUUUGUCCCCUUGUGUCUGUGAGACUUUACUGUAAAUUUAAAAAGGAAUUGUGUAAUUUAAAAAAAAGCCAUCAUUUCUAGUGGUUCAAGUAGAUUGUGCUUUUAGAUAAAUAAUAAUUUUAGAUAACCCCCCAGAAAAAAACAACCCAAAGGGACAGUUGGGCUCCCAAAAAUGGAAAGAC